rnacentral:rRNA from 1 species
UACGAAGGGGGCUAGCGUUGUUCGGAAUUACUGGGCGUAAAGCGUGCGCAGGCGGUUUUCCAAGUCAGUGGUGAAAGCCCGGAGCUCAACUCCGGAACUGCCAUUGAAACUGUGAAACUAGAGUACGAGAGAGGUGAGUGGAAUUCCCAGUGUAGAGGUGAAAUUCGUAGAUAUCGAGAGGAACACCGGUGGCGAAGGCGGCCUUCUGGGACAGUGACUGACGCUGAGACGCGAAAGCGUGGGGAGCAAACAGG